rnacentral:lncRNA from 1 species
AUAAAAUCCAUUCCAUCUCUUAUUUCUAACAAUAUCCAUAAAAUUCAUACCCAAAGUCAAAAAGUCGAUGAGCCACCUGCUAAAAUUCUGUCAAGGCAAAAAAGAGCAUGCUAAGCAAUAUCGAAGAAAGCCAUGAAUGAUGAAAUCCAAAAGAGAGAAAGAAGUCGAACUGCGUAAGUAGAAUUUUUCAACCAAACUUCGUCAAUUUUUUUAUGAUCAUUCUCUUUUCUCUAUCUGUCUUCUAAUUUGAGAUGGAUACAAAAAGAAGAGAGGAAAUUAAUGUGAGGGAAAAUAUUGACAAGAAAAUUUUGACGAAAUUCAUUGUUUUUCUCACUACUAUUGUCUGGAUUUGGAACAAAAAGAGGGAGAAGCGAGGAAAGAUUGGGGUGGGGGAGAAAGAAAGGAG